GACGGAGGAUGCAAGUGUUAUCCGGAAUCACUGGGCGUAAAGCGUCUGUAGGUGGUUUAAUAAGUCAACUGUUAAAUCUUGAGGCUCAACCUCAAAAAUCGCAGUCGAAAACUAUUAGGCUAGAGUAUAGUAGGGGUAAAGGGAAUUUCCAGUGGAGCGGUGAAAUGCGUAGAGAUUGGAAAGAACACCGAUGGCGAAGGCGCUUUACUGGGCUAUUACUAACACUCAGAGACGAAAGCUAGGGUAGCAAAUGGG
rnacentral:rRNA from 1 species